CCCUUAGAUGUCCUGGGCCGCACGCGCGCUACACUGAUGCAUUCAACGAGUUUUACCUUGGCCGAGAGGCCUGGGCAAUCUUUUAAACCUGCAUCGUGAUAGGGAUAGAUUAUUGCAAUUAUUAAUCUUGAACGAGGAAUUCCUAGUAAACGCAGAUCAUCAAUCUGCAUUGAUUACGUCCCUGCCCUUUGUACACACCGCCCGUCGCACCUACCGAUUGAAUGGUCCGGUGAAGCCUCGGGAUUGUGGCCAGUUCACUUUAUUGGGAGUUGGCUGCGAGAACUUGUCUAAACCUUAUCAUUUAGAGGAAGGUGAAGUCGUAAC
rnacentral:rRNA from 1 species